CGAAUACUUCAAAAUGCAGCAAGUUAUUAUAUCAUUUCGGAAGUUCUUUUGAAUGAAAUGAUAAAAAGAAUUGAGGUUAGGUGCACUUUAAUGAAGUAGUAUGGGUCAAACUGAAAGAAAUUAAGACUAUUUAUCACAAGCUAAAACUAUAGCUAAAUAUGAUUUAUGAGACACUUAAUAAUCUUGCACCAUCCCACUUAGUACUUACAGGAACUCUGUCCGAUCGAAGUUAGUUCUGUAACAGCAAACAGCUUACAAUCUCCGUACUGGAAAAGAUUAUUUUAUCCCAUAUGCAAGGACUGAACGUUUUAAAAAAUUAUUUUCAGUUUCCUCAGUAAAACUUUGGAACACUUUGCCACUUGACGUUCGUAUAGUUCUUACUCAUUAGCUUCUUUCCAAAACAGCUCAUGAAGUGAGGUACAAGAAGUCAAAAAUUAAUUGCCACAUUUGUAACUUAUUUUUGUAAGCCUGAG